GACGAAGGGGGCUAGCGUUGUUCGGAAUUACUGGGCGUAAAGCGCGUGUAGGCGGUUGCCCAAGGCGGGUGUGAAAGCCUUGAGCUCAACUCAAGAAUUGCACUCGGUACUGGGUGGCUAGAGGACCGGAGAGGAUAGUGGAAUUCCCAGUGUAGUGGUGAAAUACGUAGAGAUUGGGAAGAACACCAGUGGCGAAGGCGGCUAUCUGGACGGUUUCUGACGCUAAGACGCGAAAGCGUGGGGAGCAAACAGG
rnacentral:rRNA from 1 species